AUUGAACGCUGGCGGCAUGCUUUACACAUGCAAGUCGAACGGUAACAGGCCGCAAGGUGCUGACGAGUGGCGAACGGGUGAGUAAUGCAUCGGAACGUGCCCAGUCGUGGGGGAUAACGCAGCGAAAGCCGCGCUAAUACCGCAUACGAUCUAUGGAUGAAAACGGGGGACCGUAAGGCCUCGCGCGAUUGGAGCGGCCGAUGUCAGAUUAGGUAGUUGGUGGGGUAAAGGCUCACCAAGCCAACGAUCUGUAGCUGGUCUGAGAGGACGACCAGCCACACUGGGACUGAGACACGGCCCAGACUCCUACGGGAGGCAGCAGUGGGGAAUUUUGGACAAUGGGCGCAAGCCUGAUCCAGCAAUGCCGCGUGCAGGAAGAAGGCCUUCGGGUUGUAAACUGCCUUUGUACGGACGAAACGGUCCUGGUUAAUACCUGGGGCUAAUGACGGUACCGUAAGAAUAAGCACCGGCUAACUACGUGCCAGCCGCCGCGGUAAAAC
rnacentral:rRNA from 1 species